rnacentral:misc_RNA from 1 species
GGGACCGACUUCAGAGGCGUCCGGUGGUGGCCCGUCACGUCGGUCACCGUGCCUACGAACCCCCUGACCCGAUCGUCGUCGUCAUCAUCAAACUAUUUUCUAUUUCCUUCCAGAAUCUUCUCACCUCUUCGCCAUGGCCGCCUUCUUCCUUCCUUCAUUCAUAUAAUACCCCUUUCUCUUCCUUCUCCCUAUUUCUUUCCCUUUCUCUACUUAUCUCUCUAAACAACCAUGUCCGAUUCCGACUCUUCUCCCUCUCCUCCACCGCCGCCGUCGCCACCUCGCACCCUCUCUAUGCUUCUCCCUUUUCUGCUUGGCCUUGCCCGUACCACCACCGGAUCCAACCUCAACCAGAUCGUCGUUCUCGAUCAUGCUGCCCG